GUCUACAGCCAUGCCACCCUGAACAAGCCCGAUCCCAUCUGAUCUCGGAAGCUAAGCAGGGUUGGGCCUGGUUAGUACUUGGAUGAGAGACCACCUAAGAAGACCAGGUGCUGUAGGUG
rnacentral:rRNA from 1 species